rnacentral:rRNA from 1 species
CUACGGGUCGCAGCAGUGGGGAAUAUUGCACAAUGGAGGAAACUCUGAUGCAGCAACGCCGCGUGGAGGAUGACACUUUUCGGAGCGUAAACUCCUUUUAUAUAGGAAGAAGAUGACGGUACUAUAUGAAUAAGCGCCGGCUAACUCCGUGCCAGCAGCCGCGGUAAUACGGAGGGCGCAAGCGUUACUCGGAAUCACUGGGCGUAAAGAGCGUGUAGGCGGAUUAAAAAGUCAGAAGUGAAAUCCUAUAGCUUAACUAUAGAACUGCUUCUGAAACUCUUAAUCUAGAAUAUGGGAGAGGUAGAUGGAAUUUCUGGUAUAGGGGUAAAAUCCGUAGAGAUCAGAAGGAAUACCGAUUGCGAAGGCGAUCUACUAGAACAUUAUUGACGCUGAGGUGCGAAAGCGUGGGGAGCAAACAGGAUUAGAUACCCCCGUAGUC